AACGAACGCUGGCGGCAGGCUUAACACAUGCAAGUCGAACGCUCGUGGCAACACGGGAGUGGCGGACGGGUGAGUAACGCGUGGGAACGUGCCCUGAGGUUGGGAAUAACUGCGGGAAACUGCAGCUAAUACCUGAUGCGCCCCGAGAGGGGAAAGGAUUUAUCGCCUUGGGAGCGGCCCGCGUCGGAUUAGCUAGUUGGUGGGGUAACGGCCUACCAAGGCUUCGAUCCGUAGCUGGUCUGAGAGGACGAUCAGCCACACUGGGACUGAGACACGGCCCAGACUCCUACGGGAGGCAGCAGUGGGGAAUCUUGCGCAAUGGGGGCAACCCUGACGCAGCCAUGCCGCGUGAAUGAUGAAGGCCUUAGGGUUGUAAAGUUCUUUUGCCCGUGACGAUGAUGACGGUAACGGGAGAAUAAGCUCCGGCUAACUUCGUG
rnacentral:rRNA from 1 species